GACGAACGCUGGCGGCGUGCUUAACACAUGCAAGUCGAACGGAAAGGCCUCUUUCGGGGGGUACUCGAGUGGCGAACAGGUGAGUAACACGUGAGUAACCUGCCCUUGACUUUGGGAUAACUUCAGGAAACUGGGGCUAAUACCGGAUAGGAGCUCCUGCUGCAUGGUGGGGGUUGGAAAGUUUCGGCGGUUGGGGAUGGACUCGCGGCUUAUCAGCUUGUUGGUGGGGUAGUGGCUUACCAAGGCUUUGACGGGUAGCCGGCCUGAGAGGGUGACCGGCCACAUUGGGACUGAGAUACGGCCCAGACUCCUACGGGAGGCAGCAGUGGGGAAUAUUGCACAAUGGUGGAAGCCUGAUGCAGCAACGCCGUGUGCGGGAUGACGGCCUUCGGGUUGUAAACCGCUUUCGCUCAUGACGAAGCUUUGUGUGACGGUAGUGGGUAAAGAAGCACCGGCUAACUACGUG
rnacentral:rRNA from 1 species